CCCACGGGUGGCAGCAGUGAGGAAUAUUGGUCAAUGGGAGGAAUCCUGAACCAGCCAUGCCGCGUGCAGGACGACGGCUCUACGAGUUGUAAACUGCUUUUGUACCGGGGUAAAAUGCUCUACGAGUAGGGUUUUGAAAGUCCGGUACGAAUAAGGAUCGGCUAAAUCCGUGCCAGCAGCCGCGGUAAUACGGAGGAUCCGGGCGUUAUCCGGAUUCAUUGGGUUUAAAGGGUGCGUAGGUUGUUUUAUAAGUUAGCGGUGAAAUACGGGUGCUCAACAUCGGGGCUGACGCUGAUACGGUAGUACUAGAGAGCGGGUGCGGCAGGCGGAAUGUGUGGUGUAGCGGUGAAAUGCAUAGAUAUUACACAGAACACCGAUUGCGAAGGCAGCUUGCUGGGCCAGAUCUGACGCUGAGGCACGAAAGCGUGGGGAUCGAACAGGAUUAGAUACCCGAGUAGUC
rnacentral:rRNA from 1 species